rnacentral:rRNA from 1 species
UACGUAGGUGGCAAGCGUUGUCCGGAAUUAUUGGGCGUAAAGGGCGCGUAGGCGGUCCUUUAAGUCAGAUGUGAAAUCCCGAGGCUCAACUUCGGGCGUGCAUUUGAAACUGGAGGACUAGAGUGCAGGAGAGGUAAGUGGAAUUCCUAGUGUAGCGGUGAAAUGCGUAGAUAUUAGGAGGAACACCAGUGGCGAAGGCGACUUACUGGACUGUAACUGACGCUGAGGCGCGAAAGCGUGGGGAGCAAAC